UUUGUGCCGCGUGAGGGCCACGCCCAGCGUCCCCCUCUUUGCUUUCGAUUUCUGAUAGGAGCCGCCGCGCAUCAAACUUUUUUCAGGAUAGUCUGUCGGGAUGCUCCGAACGCCAGGCGAAACUCAGGAGAUAAGGCGCAAAUGUGUGGGUCACUGAACCAGUCUUGUGCUCGAAAACCUAAGCAGUGAAUAAGCAUGUAGAAGGCGUUGCGACGCUUUGUCCGGACGCGGGUUCGAGUCCCGCCAGCUCCACUU
rnacentral:tmRNA from 1 species